rnacentral:lncRNA from 1 species
UAGGCAGGAAGUUUCAUUUCACUGAAACUCACAACGAUGCUAACUCAUAUCCCUUGAAAAUUAUCUCGUGCACACACGCUGUGGAGACUGAGUUUCUGGGUCAGAUGGAUUCAGCAUAAGCAUGUUGACUGUGAUUAAGGUAAUGGCCGGCCCA